rnacentral:miRNA from 1 species
AUCAAGACCAUGGUGAGAGUC